rnacentral:misc_RNA from 1 species
GAAGAGUUAUGACUAAAAUGCCAAGUAUGACUUCCUUUUAUUUGCCUUCAUCUAAUAUUAUACAUAAAUACUUGUUAUAUUCUGUUCAGCUUUUAUAAGAAUCCACCUUCUGAAUCCAUGUGAAUGCGUGGAGGUGGUCUUCCUGUAGAGUGUAGUCAAUGCACGGGUAUGUGCUUGUUCAAUAUUCUAUUAGUGGACACUGGACCUGCCCAAAAGUCUUGAGAUCAAGCCUGGUUAAGAGCAACUUACUAAGGGAAUAGCCUGUGAAAAGUCAACAAUGAUCGCUUGCGUAUUGUUCCCUUUGUGACAGUGCGCCAGAUGAUGUUUUAGUAAAAAGAUAGUUGCUUAAAUCAUAUGCACUUAGAACAUAUCUCUUCACAUGUAUCCUGGAUAAUUGUUUUUUCCUAGCCAACGUGCGUGAGCUAGUGGUGGGUGUUUGCUAGAUCUGCCAUAAAAUUAGAAAGUUUACCUAUAAGUUUAUCAGAAUGCAUACUGCAUUGAAUUUCUUUGUGCACAUGACUUGGAGAAUUUGAUUCAUGUUCAGCCUUUGGGCCAAAAUUCAUGUGACUAUUCUUCUAUUAACUUGGUGACAAUUUAGGUGACUUCAUUUAGCUUCUUCCAAUGGAUUCCUGAUCCUUUUUAAGCUUCCAUUUCAUGAGUAGUCAUUGCUUCCAAAUAAAUAAAGAUAAACGAAAAGCAAGCACAGACAACUUGAUGCAGCAACCACCACUGAAGAAACUUGCGACAGAUGGUGCGACGAGUGUAAUGCAGGUGAACUCCACACAAGGGGCAAUAGGUGGAUACCCCAAGGCUGCUGCGGCUUCUAGCAUGGGUAUAUCAUUAAUGUCGCAUCAGUUGCCUACUGAAAACAUAUCAGGAAGCGACAGUGGUCUGGUGUUGAAAACGUCUACUAUGCUUGCACAGGCAUGAAGGAAGACACAGAUGCAGGACAUUUACUGGCGUCGCUAUGUGAACUUUUUAGUGAAAGUAUGUUUGCCUUCAUUC